GGACCGUGAGAUCAUGACCUGAGCCAAAGUCAGGCAUUUAACCGACUGAGCCCCCCAGGUGCCCCGGGACGCUCCUUCCUGAUAGCAUCUCACGAAGAUCUCCGGUAUGUUGUUCAGAUCCCUCCUUGGAGAGAAAAUGCCAGCGGCCUUUUCUGCUUUGCAUAAUCCACCUUCAUUUUCUGACAACUGCUUUCUCCGAACCCCCUAUGGUUCAUUUUCCCUGCUUUGGCACAUUCGAUUUCAUGGCAGAGAUCCAGGCCAAAGUGGUCAAAUGCCAUCUAAACCACUGACCCAAGAGGACAGAAACGUUUCACGUGAUGAGGAUCCACAGGACCGGGGAUGCCGCUCAUGCGAGCACACUCUUGUUUUCAAGCCAAACACACUCCCCAACUUGGAAACCUUCAAGACCCCCAGCGCCUGUCACAAAAAGGGCAGACAUCUGGACAACCAGACAUCCCAGCUAUGUUCAGUGGGACCCAAAGCUUUUCACUUUCUCUGCCCUGACUCUCCUCUCCCUGCUGUGCCUUUGCAUCUUGCCCUUGCCCCGGUGCCCACCUUUGCUUACAACUCCCCUCCCCGAUGAAUCAAACUCUUUCCUCCCCUUCACCUAAAACAGUGUCUGGUUUACUCCAGAGGGACAGCUGGGAGCCAUGGGUGGGGAUGUUCUGGCAGGGCCAGGAGUAGAUGAGGUGCCUAGGGUCCAAAUCAAAGAGGCACUCACUCUCAGGGUCGUGCAGGCGCAAUGAGCAUCUUCUUCAGUUUUGCACCUCAACCUUGCCUGGUCCCGUGUAGGGCAGGAGAUGUCAGGUGGGUACCCGAGCCAGUGUGGUAGUUCUCAGCAUUGCCUCCUAAGGUAGUGAGCUACCUGUCACUGGAGGCAUUCAAGCUGAAAGUGGUCGGCUGCGUCUUAGGGAUGCUGAAGAGAGCAUUUCUUUAAUGGCUGGAGGUGGACUAGAUGAUUCUGCCUUCCACCCCUGGAAGCUAGGAUCUAAGGAGCCUUUCCUGAUGGUGCAUCUCAGAACUGCGUCUCUUUCCUUCCAGCUCUGUUUUUACCUCCAAGACCACUCAUCCGGCCGUCCACCGCAGGUUACCUCGUGACAGCUCUCGUGCAGCUGGCCUGUCUUGUUAUUUCGGAUUUCACCAGUUUCUGUGUCAUUGCCCUAACGGCGUUCCACAUGCAUCAAGGACAGGGAUCGAACUGCACACUUUCUGUUCUCUCGGACUGGUGGGUCUUGUCAUGCCUAGAGAAAGGAACGAUCGCAACUCGAGCCUUAGUAUUCCUGGGUGUUUAAAAAGACUUGGACUGGUCACCCAGGUGGGAGUUUCUCAUUGCUCAGAAGUGUCUACUCCCCAGAAGAGAGUUCUGCCCAGGAGACACUUGUAGACGAGGGAAAGGUGAGUCUCCCAGGAGUCUGGCUGGCAGGGAUCAGUCUGCUAGAAUUCGAUCACCUUUGGGGAGCGUCCAAAGAGAGUUCUCCAAACGACAAAGCGGAGGACAACACUUGGUCUUUAACUAUUGAGUCACUGAUCAAUGAAAACACCUUGCCAGCCUUCUCUGUGCUAGGCACUCUGCUAGGGAAGCAGGGAAGGAUGAAAACACUAGAAUCUGUUCUGAAGCCUUCAGAGUCUGGGAGCGGGGUGGAGGGAGGCCAGGGGUGGGACCCCGUGAGCUCUGCCCCCCAGAGCCAGCCUGUGCUCAGAGAGGAGCAGCCGAGACAGCCGGGCCGCCUUCCGUCUCUCCGCCACAAUCCCCAGGAGGAAAGGGGUUCUGGAAGGCUGAGGAAAUGACUGAGAGAAGUUGCAGCUGAUCCAGACAGCUCAGAGAGGCUGGAGAUCAGGAGGGAGGCGGGUGUGUUGAGGAACCGGAGGCAAGCUCGGGGCAGGGGGACCGCCAAGGACCCCGCGCAGGUGGAGGAAGAGAGGGCUCUGGAAAGACCUGGCUGUCACUCGCGGGCUGCUAAGAACAGGACUUUGGUUGCUGUGGGAAAGGCAAACGCUAUUUUCCUUUCUGUCACUUAAGACAAUGGGGUGUUGUGACACUCCGGAAUCUGAAGAUAAAUGUUUAAUAAAAGGAUUCAAUAUGA